GGGGCCAGGGAGGGAUACUGGGAGCAGUGGGAAGGGUAACUGGGAGCACUGGGAGGGCGCUGGGAGGGGUAACUGGGAGCACUGGGAGCAAUGGAAGGGAUACUGGGAGCACUGGGAGGGGUAACUGGGGGCAGUGGAAGGGAUACUGGGAGCACUGGGAGGG